rnacentral:piRNA from 1 species
UUUUUUUUUUGGUAUCACUUU